UACGUAGGGUGCAAGCGUUAAUCGGAAUUACUGGGCGUAAAGCGUGCGCAGGCGGUUGUGUAAGACAGAUGUGAAAUCCCCGGGCUCAACCUGGGAACUGCAUUUGUGACUGCACAGCUCGAGUGCGGCAGAGGGGGAUGGAAUUCCGCGUGUAGCAGUGAAAUGCGUAGAUAUGCGGAGGAACACCGAUGGCGAAGGCAAUCCCCUGGGCCUGCACUGACGCUCAUGCACGAAAGCGUGGGGAGCGAACAGG
rnacentral:rRNA from 1 species